UACGUAGGGGGCUAGCGUUGUCCGGAAUUAUUGGGCGUAAAGAGCUCGUAGGCGGCUUGUCGCGUCGGAUGUGAAAGCCCGGGGCUUAACUCCGGGUCUGCAUUCGAUACGGGCAGACUAGAGUUCGGUAGGGGAGUCUGGAAUUCCUGGUGUAGCGGUGAAAUGCGCAGAUAUCAGGAGGAACACCGGUGGCGAAGGCGGGACUCUGGGCCGAUACUGACGCUGAGGAGCGAAAGCGUGGGGAGCAAACAGG
rnacentral:rRNA from 1 species